UAGCAUAAUAAUUUGCCUUAUAAUUUGAGGCUAGAAUGAAUGGUUUGACGAAGGUUAAACUGUCUCUAUCCUAUUUUUUAGAAUUUAAUUUACAUAGUGAAAAAGCUUGUAUUUUUUAAAGGGACGAGAAGACCCUAAUGAGCUUUAACUUUAUUAUUACUUGGUUAUUGAUUGAUGAAGUAGUAUAUAAGUUUUAAUUGGGGUGAUUAAGGAAUAAAAAUAAACAGUAACUUCCUUAGGGUAUAAAUUGUUGGAUAAAUUAACCAAUAUUAUUGCUUAUAAUAGAGUUACCAUAGGGAUAACAGCGUAAUUUAUUUUGAGAGUUCUUAUUGAAAAAUGAGAUUGCGACCUCGAUGUUGGAUUAAAGUAACCUUAAGGUGCAGAAGCUU
rnacentral:rRNA from 1 species